rnacentral:rRNA from 1 species
AGAUUGAACGCUAGCGGGAUGCUUUACACAUGCAAGUCGAACGGCAGCGCGGACUUCGGUCUGGCGGCGAGUGGCGAACGGGUGAGUAAUAUAUCGGAACGUGCCCAGUAGGCGGGGGAUAACUACGCGAAAGCGUGGCUAAUACCGCAUACGCCCGUAACGGGGGAAAGGGGGGGAUCGCAAGACCUCUCACUAUUGGAGCGGCCGAUAUCAGAUUAGCUAGUUGGUGAGGUAAAGGCUCAACCAAGGCGACGAUCUGUAGCUGGUUGAGAGGACGACCAGCCACACGUGGACUGAGACCGACCGGCCCAAGACCUCCGUACGGGAGGACAGCGAAGGUAGGGGUAAUUUGGAACAAGGUACGGGGGAAACCCUGAACUCCGAAGCCCACUCCCGGCGUGUG